UACAGAGGGGGCAAGCGUUGUUCGGAAUUACUGGGCGUAAAGGGCGCGUAGGCGGCCUUCUAAGUCGAACGUGAAAUCCCCGGGCUCAACCCGGGAACUGCGUCCGAUACUGGAAGGCUUGAAUCCGGGAGAGGGAUGCGGAAUUCCAGGUGUAGCGGUGAAAUGCGUAGAUAUCUGGAGGAACACCGGUGGCGAAGGCGGCAUCCUGGACCGCAUAUGACGCUGAGGCGCGAAAGCCAGGGGAGCAAACGGG
rnacentral:rRNA from 1 species